GAUGAAGAACGUAGCGAAAUGCGAUAAGUAAUGUGAAUUGCAGAAUUCAGUGAAUCAUCGAAUCUUUGAACGCACAUUGCGCCCGCCAGUAUUCUGGCGGGCAUGCCUGUUCGAGCGUCAUUUCAACCAUCAAGCCCCAGGCUUGUGUUGGAGCCCUGCGGCUGCCGCAGCCUCCCAAAACCAGUGGCGGGCUCGCUAUCACACCGAGUGCAGUAGUUUACUCUUCGCUCAGGGCGUGUGGCGGGUGCUAGCCGUAAAACCCCCAACUUCUCAAGGUUGACCUCGGAUCAGGUAGGAAUACCCGCUGAACUUAAGCAUAUCAAUAAGCGGAGGA
rnacentral:misc_RNA from 1 species